GAUGAACGCUAGCGGCAGGCUUAAUACAUGCAAGUCGAGGGGCAGCAUGACUGUAGCAAUACAGUUGAUGGCGACCGGCAAACGGGUGCGGAACACGUACAGAACCUUCCUUCGAGCGGGGAAUAGCCCAGAGAAAUUUGGAUUAAUACCCCAUAGUAUUACGGAGUGGCAUCACUUUGUAAUUAAAGAUUUAUCAAUUGAAGAUGGCUGUGCGGCUGAUUAGGUAGUUGGCGGGGUAACGGCCCACCAAGCCUGCGAUCAGUAACUGGUGUGAGAGCACGACCAGUCACACGGGCACUGAGACACGGGCCCGACUCCUACGGGAGGCAGCAGUAAGGAAUAUCGGUCAAUGGACGAAAGUCUGAACCAGCCAUGCCGCGUGGAGGAUGAAGGUCCUCUGGAUUGUAAACUUCUUUUAUAUGGGACGAAAAAAGGCUUUUCUAAGUCGUCUGACGGUACCAUAUGAAUAAGCACCGGCUAACUCCGUGCCAGCAGCCGCCGUAAGAC
rnacentral:rRNA from 1 species